AGAGCUCAAAUUUAGAAUCUGACAGUCUUUGGCUGUCCGAGUUGUAAAUUAGAGAAGUGUUAUCCGCGCUGGCUGUGCAUAAGUCUCUUGGAAAAGGGCAUCAUAGAGGGUGACAAUCCCGUCUUUGGCACAGACUACCAGGGCUUUUGUGAUACGCUCUCGAUGAGUCGAGUUGUUUGGGAAUGCAGCUCUAAAUGGGUGGUAAAUUCCAUCUAAAGCUAAAUAUUGGCGAGAGACCGAUAGCGCA
rnacentral:rRNA from 1 species